rnacentral:tRNA from 1 species
GAUGUUGUAGCUCAGUGGUAGAGCCUUUACUUAACAUGUAAGAAGUUCUGGGUUUGAGCCCCUGCACUCA